AAAGUAAAAGAUAGAGAGAGAGAGAGAGAGAAAGAAAGAAAAGAAAAUUUAGUUAAAAAAUUGAGUGAAGAAAUUGUUGUGUUAAUGAAUAAUUCUGAAUGAAAUCGAAAAAUUCUUCAUUUCAAAUUUCUAAAUUGCAAUUUCGUUCCCACUUUUUUCUCCUUCUCUCUCUCCCUCUCUCUCUCUCUCUCUCUCGC